rnacentral:tRNA from 1 species
UCCAGCGUAGUGUAGUGGUUUAGCAUGUCGGGUUUUCAGAUCCUCACGAUCAAGAUUCCCCGGAGACCCGGGUUCAAACCCCGGCGUUGGAA